UCAAGCGCAAAAGGGCAUUUAGUGGAUGCCUUGGCAUCAAGAGGCGAUGAAGGACGCGGCAGGCUGCGAUAAUCUAAGGGGAGUUGUCAACACACUUUGAUCCUUAGGUCUCCGAAUGGGGAAACCCGGCUCUUUAGAGUCACUUAUUCAUGAAUACAUAGUGAAUGAGAGUUAACCUAGUGAAUUGAAAUAUCUUAGUAGCUAGAGGAAAAGAAAUCUAUUCCGUUAGUAGUGACGAGCGAACGCGGACCAGGCCAGUAGCAAAAAUAUAAUAACUAGAACUUUCUGGAAAGUUAGACCAAAGUGGGUGAUAGUCCCGUAUAGGUAAAAAGUAUUUUUGUUCUCGAGUAGGGCGGAACACGUGAAAUUUUGUCUGAAUAUGGGGAGACCACUUCCCAAGCCUAAAUACUCCUUGAUGACCGAUAGUGAACUAGUACCGUGAGGGAAAGGUGAAAAGCACCCCGAUAGGGGGAAUGAAAUAGUAUCUGAAACCGAAUGCCUACAAGCAGUCAGAGCUUCUUUAUGGAGUGAUGGCAUACCUUUUGUAUAAUGGGUCAGCGACUUAGUCUGUGCAGCGAGCUUAAGCCAACAGGUGUAGGCGCAGGGAAACCAAGUCUUAAUAGGGCGAUUAGUUGUACGGAUUAGACUCGAAGCGGGAUGAGCUUAUUAUGAGCAGGUUGAAGGUGCAGUAACAUGCACCGGAGGACCGAACCAGUAAACGUUGCAACGUUUUUGGAUGACUUGUGAUAAGGGGUGAAAGGCCAACCAAAUUCCGCUAUAGCUAGUUCUCCGCGAAAACUAUUUAGGUAGUGCGUUGUGUUAAUGUUGUUAGGGGUAGAGCACUAGAUGGGCUAGGGGGAAGCGAUUCCUACCAAACCUAACUAAACUCCGAAUACUAGCAAUUUCUGCACAGCAGACAGACUAUAGGUGCUAAGGUCUAUGGUCGAGAGGGAAACAGCCCAGAUCACCAGUUAAGGCCCCCAAAUAAUGGCUAAGUGGAAAAGUAUGUAGAAAGUCCAAGACAGGCAGGAGGUUGGCUUAGAAGCAGCCAUCCUUUAAAGAUAGCGUAACAGCUCACUGUUCUAAUUAAGACUUUCCGCGACGAAGAUGUACCGGGGCUCAAGCCAUUUGCCGAAACUGUGACUUUGUAAGUAUUGCGAUACUUGCAAGGGGUAGCGGAGCGUUCUGUAAGCCGUUGAAGGUAUCUCGAAAGGGGUGCUGGAGGUAUCAGAAGUGCGAAUGCUGACAUGAGUAGCGAUAAAGAGUGUGAGAGACACUCUCGCCGAAAUCCUAAGGUUUCCUGCGUAAAGUUAAUCUGCGCAGGGUUAGUCGACCCCUAAGGCGAGGCAGAAAUGCGUAGUCGAUGGGAAACAGGUUAAUAUUCCUGUACCUGCUGUGAGUUGACGGAUCACGUAAAUUGUAUUUUCUUAUUGGAUUGAAAAUGCAGUGAAGUGGUUCCUGGAAAUAGCUACAGCAUAUAGAUCGUACCAAAACCGACACAGGUUGGAUGGUAGAGAAUACCAAGGCGCUUGAGAGAAUGAUGUUGAAGGAACUCGGCAAAAUGCCCUUGUAACUUCGGAAUAAGAGGGACCAAUUUUUAGGCAACUAGAAGUUGGUGGCACAGAAUUGGGAGAAGCGACUGUUUAUCAAAAACACAGGUCUCUGCUAAGUUGUAAGACGAUGUAUAGGGACUGACGCCUGCCCGGUGCCGGAAGGUUAAAUGGUGGAGUGCAAGCUCUAAAAUGAAGCCCCGGUGAACGGCGGCCGUAACUAUAACGGUCCUAAGGUAGCGAAAUUCCUUGUCGGGUAAGUUC
rnacentral:rRNA from 1 species